AGGAUGUUGGCUUAGAAGCAGCCAUCAUUUAAAGAAAGCGUAAUAGCUCACUGGUCGAGUCGGCCUGCGCGGAAGAUGUAACGGGGCUAAACCAUGCACCGAAGCUGCGGCAGCGACACUUAUGUGUUGUUGGGUAGGGGAGCGUUCUGUAAGCCGUUGAAGGUGGCCUGUGAGGGUUGCUGGAGGUAUCAGAAGUGCGAAUGCUGACAUAAGUAACGAUAAAGCGGGUGAAAAGCCCGCUCGCCGGAAGACCAAGGGUUCCUGUCCAACGUUAAUCGGGGCAGGGUGAGUCGACCCCUAAGGCGAGGCCGAAAGGCGUAGUCGAUGGGAAACAGGUUAAUAUUCCUGUACUUGGUGUUACUGCGAAGGGGGGACGGAGAAGGCUAUGUUAGCCGGGCGACGGUUGUCCCGGUUUAAGCAUGUAGGCGGAACGAUUAGGUAAAUCCGGUCGUUUAUUAACGCUGAGGUGUGAUGACGAGGCACUACGGUGCUGAAGUAACAAAUGCCCUGCUUCCAGGAAAAGCCUCUAAGCAUCAGGUAACAUCAAAUCGUACCCCAAACCGACACAGGUG
rnacentral:rRNA from 1 species